UACGGGGGGGGCAAGCGUUGUUCGGAAUUACUGGGCGUAAAGGGCGCGUAGGCGGCCUGCUAAGUCGAACGUGAAAUCCCUGGGCUCAACCCAGGAACUGCGUCCGAUACUGGUUGGCUUGAAUUCGGGAGAGGGAUGUGGAAUUCCAGGUGUAGCGGUGAAAUGCGUAGAUAUCUGGAGGAACACCGGUGGCGAAGGCGGCAUCCUGGACCGAUAUUGACGCUGAUGCGCGAAAGCCAGGGGAGCAAACGGG
rnacentral:rRNA from 1 species